UGGGCGAAAGCCUGACGGAGNGACGCCGCGUGAACGAAGAAGGCCGUGAGGUUGUAAAGUUCUUUUCGGGAGGGGGAAUUACCGUGGCAGGGAAUGGCCGCGGGAUGACGUGAAUCCCGGAACAAGCCCCGGCUAACUACGUGCCAGCAGCCGCGGUAACACGUAGGGGGCGAGCGUUNUUCGGAAUCAUUGGGCGUAAAGGGCGUGCAGGCGGCACUGCAAGUCCGGNGUGAAAGACCCCGNCCCAACCGGGGGGGUGCGCUGGAAACUGCGGUGCUUGAGUACAGGAGGGGAUGCCGGAAUUCCAGGUGUAGGGGUGAAAUCUGUAGAUAUCUGGAAGAACACCGAUGGNGAAGGCAGGCAUCUGGCCAUGUAUCUGACGCUGAGACGGAAGG
rnacentral:rRNA from 1 species